rnacentral:rRNA from 1 species
AUGGGCCAUAGUGGAAGAGAGGAGGAGGCGGCCAGGUGGAGGCGCACCCCCCCCCCAAGCCCAAUCCGAAUUGGGAAGGGGGGUCGGCCCCCCUUUCAUUCUCCCCUCUUCCCCUUCCUUCCUGAUGAGGACAUGAUUACCUUGGAUACGACCAAAAAUAUUGCAUACAUGCAUAUUUGUGAGGUGAUUUCUAGUCCAAACUAUUCAAUAAUCUAUUUAUGUUAUUCAGAACAAAAAUUCUUCACACACUUUUGUGUUUUGUAUAAUUGUAGGUGUAUGGGACAUUUGUACAAUCCACAUAUGAAGAUAAGGGAAAAGGAGAAGUUUAGGUUCUGUUCAAAAAGUUCUCUCACGUCACUUUUGGGCCAAGAGAAGAUAGAGUCCAAGUCUCUCACGUUCUAA